AUUAGUGAAUAUUUUGAUAGUUGCUGAUGAAAAAAUUCAAGUUGAUGAUGAAAGAAUAAUUUUAGCUGAAGAUGAGGAAGAUGAAGUAUUAGACGCUCCAUCAAAAAAAUCAAAACCUCAUAAAAAAAAAAAAGACGAAAAUUAUGGCAUUUACCGUGGCAUGGACUUUCAGAAUGUAGGAUCUGUUAUAAACUUUGACGUUCCUUAUACUGUGAACCAUUAUACCCAUAGAAUUGGACGAGCAGGAAGAGCUAAUUCAGAAGGUGUAGCUCUAACUUUAGUAUUAAGAGAUAAC